rnacentral:rRNA from 1 species
AGCUCCAAUAGCGUAUAUUAAUGUUGUUGCAGUUAAAAAGCUCGUAGUUGAAUUUCUGAGUAGUCUUCUUCGUCUGCAGGAAACUGUGUGAACGUCGCCAAGGCUGCUCAUCCUUCUGAAGAACCUAUGUGGCAUUCAUUUGUCGUGUAGGGGAUCAGAUACUUUACCUUGAAAAAAUUAGAGUGUUUCAGGCAGGCAAUCGCCGGAAUACAUUAGCAUGGAAUAAUUGAAUAGGACUUCCGGUUCUAUUUGUUGGUUUUGUGGACCGAAGUAAUGAUUAAUAGGGAUAGUUGGGGGCAUUCGUAUUUAAUUGUCAGAGGUGAAAUUCAUGGAUUUGUUAAAGACGAACUUAUGCGAAAGCAUUUGCCAAGGAUGUUUUCAUUAAUCAAGAACGAAAGUA